GCCUGGGUGGCUCAGUCGGUUAAGCAUCUGACUUCGGCUCAGGUCAUGAUCUCGUGGUGUGCGAGUUUGAGCCCCGCAUCAGGCU
rnacentral:tRNA from 1 species